CGGGGUCGAGCGGGAGAGUUCAGCGAUUCGUCUGACGCCGAAGGAGCAAUGUCCCGGAAUCUCUCAGGCAAAGGGGACCGUUCGACACAA
rnacentral:ncRNA from 2 species